UUUGGUUCUUCAUCUUCUUCUUUAUCUCUUUCGUGUUUCUGGGCAAGCACCGUUUCGUCUUCAAAUACCUGAAUUUUCGUUUUCUUCUUCGGUUUCUCAGUUCAUCGAGUAUAUUUUUCUUGCCACGCUUCAGUAGCUCCGUGUUUUGAAGUAGAGCUCAGGCCUAUCAAGCUUCAUUUGAUUCCGGAAGUGACGAGAAGAGGUCCUGAUAGAAUUAAAUUGGGAGGAGCAUAGUAGGCCAGAACAGUGUUUUAAGAAGAGUCACAUAAUGCAGUUUCUUUUAUAGAAGCUAAGAUGAAGAAAAACUUGGGUUCUUUGUAACUGGAUGUUUCCCAUCAUAUGUGCUCUUCAGAACAUCUGGUUUCCUCAGUAUGCGAGGUAAUUGAUGUAAAGAAGAGGGUGAAGAACAGAGCAAGCUCAAGUUUUCAACCUAAGCAGUAACCAAAGGCCUGAAAUGUAAUGUCAAACGUGAUCAAAGAUGGCAGUAGUGGGUAUUGCAAGCGUAGCAACGACAUUUGGAGAAUCGUCUAUGCUCUAUGAGAGUAAGAGUUUCCUCCAUUUUCUCUUCUUGGUAUUGUCCUUUGCAGCCUCCUUGGAAACCCUUUCCCAUUAUGGUGUUCCUUCUUCAAUCUACAAGAGCAUUAUGUAAGAAUCCUCACGAGUUCAGAGGUUAGUACCAUCAUAUUCACUUCUGAAACACUGUUAUAGCCUACCUAAUGUAAGUGACCUCACAAACUUUACAAAAUCUUAAUUUCAUUCUCAACUGGGAUAUAUAUAAAGAUGAAUUUUUUUUUGUCUAUAAGAAGAAGAAGCAGAAUAAAAGAUUUUGCUAAUCAUCUCACGACCUUAGUUAUUAUUCUACAUUGUCACAAAAGUUGUUUUCAGCAGAGAAGUCGUCAUUGAAAGGGGAGAAGUAAUAAUAAUAGAGGAGGAAGCAAGGAGCUAUAUCACUACUAUUUCAUUAUUUUUAGCCAAUCAGAGCGCUCUAUUUCUCACCCACUCUCACCAAACGCGCGUUGCGCGAGUGUCUACGAUUCCUGUGUGCUAUAACCCCCAAAAUCGCUUAUGGUGUAACAAACUCGCUUAAUUCUUAAAAACCCAUCGCGUGUGACUUCAUUUUCUUCUUUUUCUUUUUGUUUUCUUUUAUCCCCUCAAGCCUUAUUAAUUAUAAUUUAAACCGAGCAUAAAUCAAUUGUAACUCCAAAACCAUGUAAACCUUAACCGAAAUUGUUUGCAAGUGUACCCAAAUUCUAGAGAUUUUUAGUGUAUGCUGCUAUGGUGUUCGACAGAAUGCCGCUGAGAGAUUUUGUUUCUUGGAAAAUGAUAAAAUUCUAGAGAUGUUUGUUACAGAGGAAAGGUGGGAAUCUCAUGGAGCUUCCAUGUGGUUUAACACAGUACAGUUGUUGGGAAGCCACAAGCUGCUCACUCGGAGAAGGACCCAAUAAUACCAAUGUUCAAGGAAGGAGAUGAAGGUUUCACAGUUUAAGUUGGAGCUUCAGGGUUUGAAAGCAGUGGAAGGAGAAGAGCCCCCAACUUGAAUUCAAGGCUUAAGGGUCAUUGGAGUCAUAAGCUUGUGAUUAAAGAUUCUGAUGGUCUUCAAAUUUGCAACACAUUAAAGGAAUUUUGACUGGAUUAUAUUAAGAUUUACUAUUUUACAUCUGACUUGACUUACACAUUAUACAUGUAAAGUUUUCUUAUCAUCAAGAUCAGCAUAGUCUCCGUAUGAUAAUGAUCAAGAUCACUUAUUAUUCCAAACUAGAUGAAAGAGGACACUAAUGAUUCUUAGCGUGGUAAAGGAGAAGCAAUAUAGUUUUUGUUUGUUGGUAGGAGCAUAGUAUGCUGUCUCAAAAAUCUGUUUUAGGUAGGCCAUAACAUACCAGUGUUUUAAUAAUAAAUACAUAAUGUAGUUUUUAUAAUAAAUAUCAAGCAUAUGCUUGAUUAUACAGACUAUGAUUUAGUUUCUAUAUCUAAUUUCUUUUGUACUA